AUUGCACGCUGGCGGCCGGCUUAACACAUGCAAGUCUAACGAGUGGCGGACGGGUGCGUAAUGCUUGGGAAUCUAGCUUAUGGAGGGGGCUAACUACGGGAAACUGUAGCUAAUACCGCGUACCAUAGGAUGAGCCGCGGUGGGAUUAGGUACUUGGGGAGGUAAAGGCCCACCAAGCCGACGAUCUCUAGCUGGUCUGAGAGGAUGACCAGCCACACUGGGACUGAGACACGGCCCAGACUCCUACGUGGGGCAGCAGUGGGGAAUAGUGCGCAAUGGGGGCAACCUGACGCAGCCAUGCCGCGUGAAUGAAGAAGGCCUUCGGGUUGUAAAGUUCUUUCGGUAGCGAGGCGUUAACUACAGAAGAAGCACCGGCUAACUCCGUGCCAGCAGCCGCGGUAAUUC
rnacentral:rRNA from 1 species